rnacentral:rRNA from 1 species
UACGUAGGGGGCGAGCGUUUGUCCGGAUUCAUUGGGCGUAAAGAGCUCGUAGGCGGCUUGGCAAGUCGGGUGUGAAAACUCCAGCUCAACCUGGAGACGCCACCCGAUACUGCCAUGGCUGAGUCCGGUAGGGGACCACGGAAUUCCUGGUGUAGCGGUGAAAUGACGCAGAUAUCAGGAGGAACACCGGUGGCGAAGGCGGUGGUCUGGGCCGGUACUGGACGCUGGAGGAGCGAAAGCGUGGGGAGCGAACAGG